CCUACGGGAGGCAGCAGUGAGGAAUAUUGGUCAAUGGGCGCGAGCCUGAACCAGCCAAGUCGCGUGAGGGAAGACGGUCCUAUGGAUUGUAAACCUCUUUUGCCGGGGAGCAAAAAGCGGUACGUGUACCGCAUCGCGAGUACCCGGAGAAAACGCAUCGGCUAACUCCGUGCCAGCAGCCGCGGUAAUACGGAGGAGGCAAGCGUUAUCCGGAUUUACUGGGUGUAAAGGGAGCGUAGACGGCAGCGCAAGUCUGGAGUGAAAUCCCAUGGCUUAACCAUGGAACUGCUUUGGAAACUGUGCAGCUAGAGUGCAGGAGAGGUAAGCGGAAUGCCUAGUGUAGCGGUGAAAUGCGUAGAUAUUAGGAGGAACACCAGUGGCGAAGGCGGCUUACUGGACUGUAACUGACGUUGAGGCUCGAAAGCGUGGGGAUCAAACAGGAUUAGAUACCCUUGUAGUC
rnacentral:rRNA from 1 species